CACACCAUCCCACUCAGGGGUUGAGUUUCAACCAACAUCUGGCCCAUGACAACUGGGGAGCCUCAGUGGUCCAUGCUCUCUCUGUUGAGGCUACUGAGGUCAGGAUGUCCUCACGGAUACGGCUGGACACUCAAGCAUGGGCCACACAGCAGGACAUCGUGGCAAACCCAGCGUGGACAGUACCUCUGCCUCCAGUUCAGAUGGCGCAGCAGGGAGCAAACUGAAGGCCUCUACUCAGCAAAUGGAGAGCAGGUCUGGGAGGCGGAGAAGAGUCUCGGGUUCCCGUACAGGUCCCCCGUGUGACACCGGGCACAGAUUUCCCCAAGAAAGUUGAUAAAGCCAUCAAGAUUCUGCGGGCCAGGAAUCUGCAAACAAGUCAGUGCAGUGGGGAUGACUCAUCUCUACUUUCUGAUGUCUGAGAAGAUCCAAGGGCUGUGAUUCCACAGGCAAGAUUUAACAAAGCCUGGCAACGAUGAUCUUUGAUUCACUGGAAAAAAAUUAAUAAGCGUGUGAGAUUCUUUCUAAUAAUCUCCACUACUUAAUGAGCUCUGGAAACUUGCCGAAGAACUAGGCAAGCAUUCAAGCCCGACUUCUUGGAUGGUCUUAAAGGGAUAUGGUUUUUACAUGGUAGCGAUGACACUGAAUUGAGAAAAAUAGCCGAUGGACAGUUCCCCCAAAUCUCUUGCUGCUAAAGCCUUAUGGGUGGGGCACCUGGAUGGCUCAGUGGUUGAGCGUCUGCCUUUGGCUUAAGUCGUGAACCCAGGGUCCAGGGAUCGAGUCCCACAUUAG